GCCACAUUCUCAAAGACCACAAAGCUAUAGACUGCCUGACUGAAGACAGGGGGGUUGUCUUGAGUGUCCAACACAGUGAUGGUCACAAUAGCCUGAUUGGGGGACUGCAGGUGCCCCCCAUCUGUAGCCACAACUUGCAGCUGAUAAGCUGUCUUUUCCUCUCUGUCCAAGACCAUCUUUGUGGAAAUCACCCCAGUGUGGCUAUGGAUUUGGAAACGAGAUGUAUCUCCAGCUGAUAUGCUGUACUUAACAGUCCCAUUGGGGCCUGAGUCUGGGUCACUGGCAGACACAGUGGUGAUAUAGCUGCCAGCUGGCUCAUUCUCCUGGAUAUGAGCAAAGUACUGAACUGGAUAAAACACAGGACUGUUAUCAUUCACAUCCAAGAGACUCACAUUGACCCGGGUCAGAGAAGUCUGGGGAGGAGAGCCGAGAUCUACAGCCAGGACCAAAAGGGAAUAGAAAGCCUGCUCUUCUCUGUCCAAAGAGGAGAUGGUGCUCAGCCUUCCAGACACGGGAUCCAGGCGGAAGGACCUCUGUUCAGUGUCAGCCUCCUGGAAGGAGAAUCGAACAGUUCCAUUGUCGCCUAGGUCCCCAUCUGAUGCCUCUAUGACCAACAAAUCUGUCCCUGCAGGGGCAUUCUCAGCCACAGACACUUCAUAGCCUGCUUCCUGGCUGAAUACUGGCUUUUCAUCAUUCACAUCCAGGACAGUAACUAUCAGCUGUGCAUAGGAUACUUUGGGGUGGACACCCUGAUCCCUGGCACUAAUGUUCAAGACCACCUGGGAGGCUCGUUCUCUGUCCAGGCCACCAGCAGCCGCAGUUGUCACCAGACCACUGUGGUCACUGAUGUGAAACCAGUCCAGCUCAUUGCCAGAGAUGAUGCUAUAGCGAAGGUUUGCAUUGAGCCCUGAGUCACCAUCUGUGGCAGAAACCCCGCUCACAUAACUGCCAGGGGGAGCUUCUUCACUUAGGUUCACCCGAUAGACCAACUGGGAGAAGACAGGAGGAUGGUCAUUGAUAUCAUUAACAAAGAUCACAAGGCUGGCGACGGAGGAACGAGCCACUGCCCCGGGGGGCGCCCCAUGAUUGUCUGACACGGAGACCGUCAGGUUGUAGGAAGGGAUGCGUUCCCGGUCCAAGGCACUGGCCACCUUGAUGAGGCUCAGAUUGGGCACCUUGCUUCGCUGCACCUCAAAGUGGCGUUGCUCGUUGCCGCCCAGGAUCUGCACCGAAAUGUUGCCAUUGGCCGCAGGGGAAUCAGCGUCCGUGACCGUCAGCAGGGCCACGACUGUGCCUACCUGCGCAUUCUCGUCCACUGAGGCAAAGCGCGACGUGGCGGGGAAAUAGCGGAACUUGACCACUGGAUCGUUGUCGUUCACGUCCAGUAGCUGGAUGAGCGCCUCCGCUCGACCAGUAAGCGACGGCACGCCCCGGUCGUGUGCCUGCAGAGUGAGCGAGUACUGGCGCCUGGCCUCGUAAUCCAGGGGCUCCCGCACGGUGAUGAGCCCUGUCUCGGGAUCCAUGUGGAAGGGACCUCCGUCCUCCUGCAGCUGGUAGCGGAUAUCUGCGUUGGUGCCUUCGUCGGCAUCAGCCGCAGAGACUUGCAGCACACUGGAGCCCACGGCCGCAUCCUCAGGUACUCCAGCCUGGUAGUGGGAGCUCCCGAACACUGGGGGGUUGUCGUUGAUGUCUUGUACCGUCACGUUCACUUGAAGAUAGCCCCGCCGCUUGGGUUCUCCCUUGUCUUCCACCUCCACCAGCAGCUGGUAGUAGGCGGUGGCCUCGCGGUCCAGGCCGCCCCUGGACACUAGAUGCAGGAAGGCCCCCUCGCCGCUCGGGUUGAGGGUGAUAUCGAGGCGGAAGCGUCCGGCUUCGUUGCCGCCCACGAUUCGAUAGGAACGGUGGUCUACACCAUUGGAACCGAUGUCUGCAUCGGUGGCAGUGUCCAAGAUGACCUGGCGUCCGCUGCUGCUAUCCUCCUUAAAGGUGACCACGAUGGAAGGCUCGGGGAAGACUGGCGCGUUGUCAUUAAGGUCCCGCACCAACACUCGCACCUCCGUGGGGAACAAGACUUUAUCUCUUGGUUCCUGACAUUUUCUCUGGCUGUUCCCCAAGUCUGGAAUGAGCUCCCUUCUCAUCUCUACUUCCUGCCUUCCUUGACUUCCUUAGACUCCAGAAUAUUAUUCUUGAGCAUUCGCAUUCCUGCUAGAGUGACUUCUCUUCCAGCAUACUAGAUCACAAAAGGUUACCUAUUCUCUGAACCUUUGAAGUCUGGUUUCCUGAAAUCUUUGGAGGAGCAUAUCAAAUUGUACUUGCAGGGGAUGUUCACUUUGCCCUAUUAUUUUUAGCCCAGAAACCAAUUUUUACCUCUCAAUGAGAAUCAGAUCCAGGAUAGUUUCCUUUUAUUGGUUCUUUUAACUUUUGAAAGAUAAAGUGAUCAUUAAGGCCAGUUAAGAAUACAGAUUUUUUUUUUUUUUUUAAGAAUACAGAUUCUUACUUUUGAGAGAGUCUAGCAGAUGUUCAACUUUCUCUUAUCUCCUCACCCUGGCCAUCUUCCUUCCUGGAAAGCUGGACUCUAAACUUGGCUCCCAUGGUUUUGAUAGAUAAGCUUUUUACCUUGUUACUGGUGCUCAUAUCUCCAUGUAACAUCAGGUACUACAGAACUUCUUUGUCAUCUCCCAGAUCCCAAAACAGUAGUAAUGGAAAGGGCAUUGAGCUGCCAGUGUGCUCAGCAGGAGGAGAAGUGACAGGAGUAGAACAGCAACUGUGGUGAGAAUAGCAGUGGCAGGACUCAGGUCCCCGUAGCAGAAGGGGACCCCAGACUCCUGACAUCUCUGAGCACCACAUGGCAACCAGAGCCUUGGGUAUGGGACUAUAGCUUCUACCUCCACAUCCAGUGCUGUUCCCUCCAAGAAAACAUGGACAGUUGGAAAGAGUAUAAAAGUCAUGGUUCCUCUCAGAAAUGAGUUUGGUCAAAAACAGAGCCCAGAUGGGUUGAUCUGGAUUGGCUUAGGAUGGAGAGGGAGAGUUAGACUAAAGACUAAAGAUGUACUCAUGGGAAAAAAUCAUUUAUUUAUAAUCUAUUGCUUUCACCACUUGUCAUACCUUCUAGAACCAAUUAAUGAGGCUCCACUAUAUUUACCACCAUGCUUCCCCAAUCAGGGUCCUGUAUUUCAUCCCAUUCAUAUAUUAUCUUAACAUACAAUACUACUCAAGUCUACAUCUAACCUAUUCUAUUGUUUUUAUUGUUGCUGUUGUUGUUUUUACACAUAAAUAUGAUAUUUGAAUAUGAUACUCAUAGAAAAGUCAGAGUCUAGUUAUCAUAUUAUAUAGUAAUACCUCUGCAAUCAAAUUUGCUUUUUGCGUUAUGAUUUCUAAUUCUUCAUUUAGUGCUGAAACUUCAAGGAUUUUUAUACAAACCAAUGGUCUGUGUUGCUGAUUUCUAUCUAAGAUUUUGUCUCUUCCGGGCAUUUUAACUGAUUCUUCCCUCAUUGUAGUGAUUCUCUGUGAUAUCUAAUUUGGUGUAUGUAUAUGGGCCAUCUUCUUUCUCCCCCAUCCUUUAUAUAAAAAUGACCUGCAUUUCUGAGUGCAAGUCAGUCCAGCAGAGAUGGGAAUGCUCAAGUAUAAUAUUCUGAAAAAAAGAAAGGAAAACAAUUUCAGUGAGGCAGUUAUAAAGUCCAAGCCUUUAUAACCAUUUCUUUAAAAAAAAUUAAGGUUCUUUCAUGUAGUUAUCAUUUGACUGUUUAUAGCUGUUUAUAAUUCACUGUUAAUUUGGCAGGAUGUCUCAGAUUUGAGUGUCUGUGUUUUAUUCUAACAUUUUUGGUGAGAGCUUUAGGUAAAGAGAUGGCUAAUUAAUUGUUAUGCUAUUUUCUAUGUUUAUCAUUUUUUUUGCUAGAUAAAUUCUUUUUGAAAUGUACUCCCUUAUGUUCCCAGAGAACAUUAUCAUGAAAUUCAGCAUUUGCCCAGAUUGAACUAACCUUGGUGAUCAUAUCAUAUAUAUAUAUAUAUAUAUAUAUAUAUAUAUAUAUAUAUAUGCUUAUAUAUUAUAAUAUAUAUAAUUGAUUAGAGUAGAUCACUACUGAGAUUCCUUCCAACUCUCAAAUUCAGGAAUUAUUCAGUUAUUCCUCAUGUUUUUUCUUUACUGGUUAUCUUCAGAUGUUAUUAGCUUCUUUUAUGAAUUUAUUUUAAUUAACUAAAAUCAUACACAGCACAGUAUAAAUUGUGAUUUAUGUGCCAGCAUGCUGACACAGGGUUUACAAGCAUCUUUCCUUAAAAUUCUACUUUCUCAUAUCUCGCAUCUUUGUUCUUUGUCUUAUAUUAUGUCAGUAUCUCUAAGAUCUCCCCAUGGAGUCAUCCAACUUUUGUCUACUUUCCUUUAUACUCACAUUUGAUGCAAAGAUGACUUUCCUUGUGAGAUUGUAGUCAUAAUUUCGCUGAAUUCCUUAUCAUUUAUAUCAUCUGAAUUUGCAAGGCAUUGCAUGAUUCUUGGUUGUGGUUCUAUACUUACUGUAACAGACUGUAAGAUCCUUGAGAAUAGAGAUUCCUUUUUAUUUACCCUAAUAUUUCCCACAGUACUUUGUAUUGUGCUGCACACAUCAUUAUGUUAUAGAAGUUGAAGUGGAGGCUGUCUAGUUUGACCAAUGUUUGACAAUGAGUAUGUUUUAAAAACCUUCCUUCUAAAUGGAAUCUAACAUCCCUUAAAGAUUUUCAGUGACUGUGGAAUCAAUGAGUCUCCAUCCAUUAAUAUAUCUUGUUAAUAGAUAAACAGUUUUAUGUUCCUGAUACAUUGUUGGUGGAAUUGUGAAUACAUCCAGCCAUUCUGGAGAGCAAUUUGGAACUAUGCCCAAAAAGUUAUCAAACUGUGCAUACCUUUUGAUCCAGCAGAUCAAAGAGAUCUUAAAGAAGGGAAAGGGACCUCUAUGUGCAAGAAUGUUUGUGGCAGCCCUCUUUGUAGUAGUCAGAUACUGGAAACUAAGUAGAUGCCCAUCAAUUGGAGAAGGCUGAAUAAACUGUGGUAUAUGAAUGUUAUAGAAUAUUAUUGUUCUGUAAGAAGUGACCAGCAGGAUGAUUUCAGAAAGGCCUGGAGAGACCUACAUGAACUGAUGCUGAGUGAAAUGAGCAGGACCAGGAGAUCAUUAUAUAUUUCAAGAACAAUAUUUUAUGAUGAUCAAUUCUGAUGGACGUGGCCCUCUUCAACAAUGAGAUGCACCAAAUCAGUUCCAAUAGAGCAGUAAUGAAUUGAGGCAGCCAGUGAAAGAACCCUGGGAAAUGAGUAUGAACCACUGCAUAGAAUUCCCAAUCCCUCUAUUUUUGUCUGCCUGCAUUUUUGAUUUCCUUCACAAGUUAAUUGUACAUUAUUUCAAAGUCCGAUUCUUUUUGUACAGCAAGAUAACUGUAUGGACAUGUAUACAUAUAUUGUAUUUAACAUAUAUUUUAACAUAUAUAACAUGUAUUGGUCAACCUGCCAUCUGGGGG
rnacentral:lncRNA from 1 species